CAUCUCUGAGCUCACAUCAAGGUGUCAAUAGGGCUGUGUUUCUUUCUGGAGGCUCUAGGUGAGAAUCCAUUGUCUUGCCUUUUCCAGCAACUAGAGGCUGCCUGCAUUCUUUGCCUAGUGCCCCCUUUUCAUGUCCAAAGCUAGCAAUGGCAGAUUAAGUCUUUCUCAUAUCUCAGGCUGAGGAACAACGAGGAGGAGGGAGUGGGCAGCGCCCUGGGCAGUUAUGUCCUACUCAUAUCUGGUGUGUGUCACUGGAAUAUAGGUCAGCAUUUGCUAUACAACUUGGGGCAGGCUGGAAGCAUGCAGACCCCGGACUGGGCCCAGGAACCCCCACCCCCACUCUCUUCUUGCCUAAAACAAGUUAACAAGCCUGAAGAGCAUUGAGAGAGGCCAUCAGGACGGAGAAAACCAGCCUUUCCAUUUUG
rnacentral:lncRNA from 1 species